CCUACGGGCGGCAGCAGUGAGGAAUAUUGGUCAAUGGACGAGAGUCUGAACCAGCCAAGUAGCGUGAAGGAUGACUGCCCUAUGGGUUGUAAACUUCUUUUAUAUGGGAAUAAAAUGUUCCACGUGUGGGAUUUUGUAUGUACCAUAUGAAUAAGGAUCGGCUAACUCCGUGCCAGCAGCCGCGGUAAUACGGAGGAUACGAGCGUUAUCCGGAUUUAUUGGGUUUAAAGGGAGCGUAGGUGGAUUGUUAAGUCAGUUGUGAAAGUUUGCGGCUCAACCGUAAAAUUGCAGUUGAGACUGGCAGUCUUGAGUACAGUAGAGGUGGGCGGAAUUCGUGGUGUAGCGGUGAAAUGCUUAGAUAUCACGAAGAACUCCGAUUGCGAAGGCAGUUCACUGGACUGCAACUGACACUGAGGCUCGAAAGUGUGGGUAUCAAACAGGAUUAGAUACCCGAGUAGUC
rnacentral:rRNA from 1 species